GGGGCUGAGAGGGGGAGGGGAACUGAGAUUGCCUCGCUGGGGAGGUGACCCGGUGAUGGGUCCCAGAAUAAGACCGAGGGAAUAUAGACUAUGGACUUAAGGACGUGGAGUGUGUACCCAGGACAUCCAGGACCCAGAGACCUGAAAGUUGUCGCUGGACUAAAGUGGGAGGUCCUUGGGAGCUGCAGGAACGGGGGAAAUAGAGCCCACAGCUGCACGAUCGACCCUCUCCCCUUUUUGAAAAGGCUGCGGAAAAGUUGAGGAUCUUCUCGUUGUUUUUCGGUAGUGACACAGACUAAAGCAGCAAAGCAGAAGAAAAGGCCCGGGAGGGGCCACUUUGCCUCCUGCGGGGGCCCUUCGCAUUUGCGGCCCCACCCCCACCUCACCUCCCCUCCACCUUCUGGCUUCGAUUUUUGGGGCCAGAGGCCAGGCUUGUGUACUGGAUUGUGAGAGCAAGGAGGCUAGGAAAGAGGCCUGAAGGGGCGGUCCCUACGCCAUAGGUCGGGAUGCCCUGCAGCCUGGAGACCUGAUAAUUGAGACUCACAAAUACGCUUCUGUGUUCCCCAACUAAGAGACUCCACAAGCAGCACUGACUCUUUUCCACCAGGUCUCAGGAGCCCCUUCACAGUCCUGCCUAACCUAAAGUAUCUGAGGAGCCAUCUCCCCUUUUUCCUCAUGCCUAUCAUCUGCCAGUACUGUUCCCCAACCACACAACACACAUAAGAGUGGAAUCUCUCACUAGUUGUGCAAGAUGAAGCAAUGCGGAUCAUGAAGAUCCAGAGACAGCCUCAGGGUACCUGGCUUCCUUAUCUUCUCUCUGGACUGAUAACCCUCAAUCUGCUGCCUGAAUCUGGGUGAAGGUGAAAGAUGAAACAGAGACCAGCAGAGGGCAAAAUACUUAAAAGCAUAUAAAAACAUUUAUUCUUAAAAAACACGAUUGGUUAAGUAUCUCUUGGGAAGUGAAAGCAGCCCUCAGAUGGGCUCUCAGAGAAAGACACUGAAUGCAAAGAUCAUUUACAUGUUAAAAACAAAGAGGCAGCAAACAUUUUUACAAGGGAGGAA